GUGUGCUUACAAGUAGUCAGAGCCCGUUAAUGGGUGAUGGCGUGCCUUUUGUAGAAUGAACCGGCGAGUUACGAUCUGAUGCAAGGUUAAGCAGAAAAUGUGGAGCCGUAGCGAAAGCGAGUCUGAAUAGGGCGAAUGAGUAUUUGGUCGUAGACCCGAAACCAGGUGAUCUACCCUUGGUCAGGUUGAAGUUCAGGUAACACUGAAUGGAGGACCGAACCGACUUACGUUGAAAAGUGAGCGGAUGAACUGAGGGUAGCGGAGAAAUUCCAAUCGAACUUGGAGAUAGCUGGUUCUCUCCGAAAUAGCUUUAGGGCUAGCCUCAAGUGAUGAUUAUUGGAGGUAGAGCACUGUUUGGACGAGGGGCCCCUCUCGGGUUACCGAAUUCAGACAAACUCCGAAUGCCAAAUAAUUUAACUUGGGAGUCAGAAUGUGGGUGAUAAGGUCCAUAUUCGAAAGGGAAACAGCCCAGACCACCAGCUAAGGUCCCAAAAUAUAUGUUAAGUGGAAAAGGAUGUGGCGUUGCCCAGACAACUAGGAUGUUGGCUUAGAAGCAGCCAUCAUUUAAAGAGUGCGUAAUAGCUCACUAGUCGAGUGACACUGCGCCGAAAAUGUACCGGGGCUAAACAUAU
rnacentral:rRNA from 1 species